UACGUAGGGUGCGAGCGUUAAUCGGAAUUACUGGGCGUAAAGUGUGCGCAGGCGGCAGAGCAAGUCGAGUGUGAAAGCCCCGGGCUUAACUUGGGAAUUGCGCUCGAAACUACUUUGCUGGAGUGUGGCAGAGGAAGGUGGAAUUCCACGUGUAGCGGUGGAAAUGACGUAGAGAUGUGGAGGAACACCAAUGGCGAAGGCAGCCUUCUGGGCCAACACGU
rnacentral:rRNA from 1 species